UACGUAGGGUGCGAGCGUUGUCCGGAAUUAUUGGGCGUAAAGGGCUCGUAGGCGGUUUGUCGCGUCGGGAGUGAAAACUCAGGGCUUAACCCUGAGCCUGCUUCCGAUACGGGCAGACUAGAGGUAUGCAGGGGAGAACGGAAUUCCUGGUGUAGCGGUGAAAUGCGCAGAUAUCAGGAGGAACACCGGUGGCGAAGGCGGUUCUCUGGGCAUUACCUGACGCUGAGGAGCGAAAGUGUGGGAGCGAACAGG
rnacentral:rRNA from 1 species